UCCCGAGAGCUGCCUCCUGCGGCACUGUCUCUCCCUCCAGCUGGCGUGCAUGUGAGGGGAUAGCCGGCCGCAGCUACUAUUGACUUCAGCAUGAUAUAAGAUGUCCAGGGCACACUGCAGUCUCUCCAUGCCGCCCAGGAGUCCGGUUCAAGAGGCUGUCAGUGGCGGGUUCCUGCACUUGGCCUGGCUGAGUUGGGUGAAGAAUGGGAUCCCCUGAAGCGAGAGACUAGUUGUGUGCAGGUGUGGCGAAUGUGGUGACAAUGGCUGUGGGCUGUCGAGAGUUGCAUUGGUGGGACGGCUGAUACCUCUGACAUGCGUCGACGUGGUGUUGUGAUGUGUACUGGCCGUGAAGACACACCUAGACUGCGUUUCCGUGGUGGCAACACGUGUGUGGAUGGACCUAAAAAAAAAAAAAAAUUAAUAUUGUAUCACAAUUGAUGUGAAAACACACCCAGUGCUAAUGUACUUACCAGCAUCAUCAGCAUUAGUAGGAGUGGAGACUGGCCCAGAGGCUGAAUGUGACUUUUUGGAGACUGUAAAUGUAUAUGCAGCAUUUAAUUUUCAUCCAAACAAUUUAAUGAACACACAUAUGUUGCUACUCAUGAAUUCAAAGCUCAUGUUUAUCAAAAUUUCUAAAUAAUGUAUAUUUAACAAGAUAUAUGUUAUAAAAAAUGUUUGCAUACUUUCUAAACAACUAUAAAACAUAAUGUGACUAACCAUAUAUAAAAAAAAAGCCCCACCUCUCUUUCGUUUGGAAAACAUACAAUGCAGAUGAAAACAAAGUAUGGUUGGAAUAAUUUUUAUACACAAUACCCCCCCCCCCAAAUAAAUAAAUAAAUA